CAUACACAUAUUACCAAUUGAACGACAAGAAACGGGACAGCUUAAAAAUGUCUCUAAAAAAUGUUCCAAAGUAAAUGAGAAUACAAAAAUCAAACUAAAUUUUGAUGACGAAGAAUUAUUAAUUCUUGAAGUACAAAAGUGACCACCUUUGUGGAAUUAUUCUUUACCUUUAGUACAACGUAAAAAUAAUAUAAAGCGACAGUUAUGGACAGAAGUAUCAUCAGCAUUAAAUGGUAAAAUAAGCGCAGAAGAAGUACAAAAGAAGUUUAAAUCAUUUCAUGAUACAUUUAGAAAAAUAAUACAAUCAGAACAACGAUCGAGUGGAUCUGCAAGAAAAGACACGAAUCAAAAGUGACCUCAUUAUGAAUCAAUGUUUUUCAUUAGAGAUUCUUGUCUUCAAAAAAUCGCAGUAUCCAAUAUAAUUAAUAUUGAUGAUGAUUCAACUGUACAUUCAUCUUUAACAAAUGAUGAGAUUGAUGCAGAAAG